GACGAACGCUGGCGGCGUGCCUAAUACAUGCAAGUAGAACGCUGAAGGAGGAGCUUGCUCUUCUGGAUGAGUUGCGAACGGGUGAGUAACGCGUAGGUAACCUGCCUGGUAGCGGGGGAUAACUAUUGGAGACGAUAGCUAAUACCGCAUAACAGUAGAUGUUGCAUGACAUUUACUUAAAAGGUGCAAUUGCAUCACUACCAGAUGGACCUGCGUUGUAUUAGCUAGUUGGUGGGGUAACGGCUCACCAAGGCGACGAUACAUAGCCGACCUGAGAGGGUGAUCGGCCACACUGGGACUGAGACACGGCCCAGACUCCUACGGGAGGCAGCAGUAGGGAAUCUUCGGCAAUGGACGGAAGUCUGACCGAGCAACGCCGCGUGAGUGAAGAAGGUUUUCGGAUCGUAAAGCUCUGUUGUAAGAGAAGAACGAGUGUGAGAGUGGAAAGUUCACACUGUGACGGUAUCUUACCAGAAAGGGACGGCUAACUACGUG
rnacentral:rRNA from 1 species